rnacentral:rRNA from 1 species
CGAGCACGCGCGUGUGGCAUAUCAAUAAGCGGAGGAAAAGAAACUAACAAGGAUUCCCUUAGUAACGGCGAGUGAAGCGGGAAGAGCUCAAAUUUGAAAUCUUCAAGGUUCUACCUUGACGAAUUGUAGUUUAUAGAAGUGUUUUCUGUUAGUGGAGUGGCAAAAGUUCUUGGAAUAGGACAUCAUAGAGGGUGAGAGUCCCGUAUUUGGUCAUUCCUCCUAGCGUUGUGAUACACUUUCAACGAGUCGGAUUGUUUGGGAAUGCAGUCCAAAAUGGGUGGUAAAUUUCAUCUAAAGCUAAAUAUUGGCGAGAGACCGAUAGCGAACAAGUACCGUGAGGGAAAGAUGAAUAGAACUUUGAAAAGAGAGUUAAACAGUACGUGAAAUUGUCAAAAGGGAAGCGUUUGACACCAGUGUUGUUUUUCCGAAAAUCAAUUACGAAUGUUUUGUUUUUGAGGAGUUAUGACUUCAUCGGCUUGCUCCUUUCUUUACGAAACUUUCUUAAUGCACUUUUCGGUUAACAAGUCAACAUCAAUCUCUUUUGUUGUAAAAGGGUAUGAGGAAGGUGGCUUUCUUUUCGGAGAAAGUGUUUAUAGCCUUGUGCCUCUAGCAAUCGGAGAGAUUGAGGUCUGCAGCGUAGAUCCUUCGGGGUUAGAUACGUUUGUGCUAAGUUAUAGCUUUUCAUAGACAACUUGUUGACUAUGUUUAGUCUUGUAGCUUACUCGCUUACUGCUAUUUUACCUACGCUUAGGAUGUUGAGUAGCGACAUACGCAC